AUGGAUCCUGGCUCGUGGGAUGAAUCAGAAAAACUUACUCAAGAGGAUAAUAUUGAUCUGACUAGAGCCUUCUCAGAAGAGGAGGUGAAAGAGGCCUUGUUUGCAAUGGAUGUUAAUAGAGCACCUGGCCCCGAUAACAUUCCUGCGGAGUUUUAUCAACAUUGCUGGAGCAUUGUUAAAAAUGACAUCAUGCAGCUGUUCAGCCACUUCCAUGCUGGAACGCUUGACGUGCAGCGCCUUAACUAUGGGGUGAUUACUCUUCUCCCUAAAGUGUCAGGUGCGGAUCGUAUCCAGCAAUUUCGACCUAUCUGUCUCCUUAGGUGCCCAUAUAAACUGAUUACUAAGACUAUGGAUCGGAGAGUAGAAAAAUAA
rnacentral:rRNA from 1 species